ACGGGAGGCAGCAGUGAGGAAUAUUGGUCAAUGGGCGGAAGCCUGAACCAGCCAUGUCGCGUGCAGGACUACGGCCCUACGGGUCUUAAACUGCUUUUGAUUGGGGAUAAAGUGGGGGACGCGUCCCCUAUUGCAGGUACCAAUCGAAUAAGGAUCGGCUAACUCCGUGCCAGCAGCCGCGGUAAUACGGAGGAUUCGAGCGUUAUCCGGCUUUAUUGGGUUUAAAGGGUGCGUAGGCGGGCUGUUAAGUCAGCGGUGAAACCCCCGGGCUCAACCCGGGGACUGCCAUUGAAACUGGCGGCCUAGAGUACGGUGGGAGUGCGCGGAAUGGGUGGUGUAGCGGUGAAAUGCAUAGAUAUCGAACAGAACGCCGAUCGCGGAGGCAGGUCACCAAGCCGCAACUGACGCUGAGGCACGAAAGCGCGGGGACCGAACAGGAUUAGAUACCCUGGUA
rnacentral:rRNA from 1 species